GAUGAACGCUGGCGGCGUGCCUAAUACAUGCAAGUCGAGCGAACAGACGAGGAGCUUGCUCCUCUGACGUUAGCGGCGGACGGGUGAGUAACACGUGGAUAACCUACCUAUAAGACUGGGAUAACUUCGGGAAACCGGAGCUAAUACCGGAUAAUAUAUUGAACCGCAUGGUUCAAUAGUGAAAGACGGUUUUGCUGUCACUUAUAGAUGGAUCCGCGCCGCAUUAGCUAGUUGGUAAGGUAACGGCUUACCAAGGCAACGAUGCGUAGCCGACCUGAGAGGGUGAUCGGCCACACUGGAACUGAGACACGGUCCAGACUCCUACGGGAGGCAGCAGUAGAGAAUCUUCCGCAAAGGGCGAAAGCCUGACGGAGCAACGCCGCGUGAGUGAUGAAGGUCUUCGGAUCGUAAAACUCUGUUAUUAGGGAAGAACAAAUGUGUAAGUAACUAUGCACGUCUUGACGGUACCUAAUCAGAAAGCCACGGCUAACUACAUG
rnacentral:rRNA from 1 species